CUACGGGUUGCUCCAGUGGGGAAUAUUGGACAAUGGGGGAAACCCUGAUCCAGCAAUGCCGCGUGUGUGAAGAAGGCCUGCGGGUUGUAAAGCACUUUCGGUUGGGAGGACUGCUUCUAGCACUAAUAUUGUUGGAAGUUGACGUUACCUUCAGAAGAAGCACCGGCUAACUCCGUGCCAGCAGCCGCGGUGAAUACGGAGGGUGCAAGCGUUAAUCGGAAUUACUGGGCGUAAAGCGCGCGUAGGCGGCUAGAUCAGUCGGGUGUGAAAGCCCCGGGCUUAACCUGGGAACUGCAUCCGAUACUGUCUAGCUCGAGUACAGGAGAGGAGAGUGGAAUUCCACAUGUAGCGGUGAAAUGCGUAGAUAUGUGGAGGAACACCAAUGGCGAAGGCAGCUCUCUGGCCUGAUACUGACGCUGAGGUGCGAAAGCGUGGGGAGCAAACAGGAUUAGAUACCCUCGUAGUC
rnacentral:rRNA from 1 species